CGGGUUGUAUAGUUAGAUAGCCUGCCUUGGGAGCAGGAGGUCGCAGGUUCGAAUCCUGCCGCCCCGACCA
rnacentral:tRNA from 1 species